rnacentral:rRNA from 1 species
ACGAACGCUGGCGGCAUGCCUAACACAUGCAAGUCGAACGAGACCUUCGGGUCUAGUGGCGCACGGGUGCGUAACGCGUGGGAACCUGCCCUUAGGUUCGGAAUAACUCCCCGAAAGGGGUGCUAAUACCGGAUAAUGUCUUCGGACCAAAGAUUCAUCGCCUUUGGAUGGGCCCGCGUUGGAUUAGCUAGUUGGUAGGGUAAAAGCCUACCAAGGCGACGAUCCAUAGCUGGUCUGAGAGGAUGAUCAGCCACACUGGGACUGAGACACGGCCCAGACUCCUACGGGAGGCAGCAGUGGGGAAUAUUGGACAAUGGGCGAAAGCCUGAUCCAGCAAUGCCGCGUGAGUGAUGAAGGCCUUAGGGUUGUAAAGCUCUUUUACCCGGGAUGAUAAUGACAGUACCGGGAGAAUAAGCUCCGGCUAACUCCGUG